GCUCAGGGCCACUGAUCCGUGAGCAAGGGGCAGUUCAAGCUGUGGUGAGAAAACAUCCCAAGCCACAUUGUGCCUCUGAGUGCUAAUACUGGAUCAUCAACACUAAGAAACAAAUUUGAAAAAUCUAGAGGUGCGAGAGCAGUUCUGAUGUAUUCUCAGGGCCAAUCUCCAGCCUCCCCUCUGCAGCUGUCCAGUGGUAACCCUGAGGAUGGAAUGCACGCAGACAAUCUACCAUGUGUAGGCGCCGUGCUAGGAACCAAAAAGAUGAAGAAGACUUCAUGUGGAUCCCUGAGGAGAUCCUAUGGGGCCAGAGAGAUGAGCAUAAACAAAUGACUGGGAUACAAUGUACUACAGGGUGUGGACUACACAUUUGGAAUUCAAAGAGAGGAAAAUACCUUAAGAAACUGAAGAGGAUUAAGAGUACAUUUACUUUGAGGAACACUAAGUGAUAUGUGGAACUGGCGAAUCGCUCUGUUACACACCUGAAACCAAUAUCGCACUGUGUGUGAACCACACUGGAACUAAAAUACCUGCAUACAUACUGCAUCAAGCCA